UACGAAGGUCCCGAGCGUUAUCCGGAUUUAUUGGGUUUAAAGGGUGCGUAGGCGGGUUGGUAAGUCCGUGGUGAAAUCUCCGAGCUUAACUCGGAAACUGCCGUGGAUACUAUCAAUCUUGAAUAUCGUGGAGGUAAGCGGAAUAUGUCAUGUAGCGGUGAAAUGCUUAGAUAUGACAUAGAACACCAAUUGCGUAGGCAGCUUACUACACGAUCAUUGACGCUGAGGCACGAAAGCGUGGGGAGCAAACAGG
rnacentral:rRNA from 1 species